GGGCUCGACGUCGACGACGUCUUCCACCACUACCGGCUGAGCCCUACGGAAGUGGAGGCCGUCACCUACUACCUGCCACGCCUCCUCUCCGGCGAGACGCUGCACGGCGCCGACAAGCUCAUCCACAGCGUCGAAAUCUCCGGCUGCGAGCCCAAGGAUCUCGCCGCCCGAUACGCGCCCGUGCCGCAGGCCGUGAGCAGCGGCGACCGGUUCUUCUUCACCACCUGCAAGAGCAAGAACGGGAGCAAGGUCCAGAGCGUGCGCGUCGCCGGCGGCGGCACCUGGAGCAUCCAGAAGACCACGGAGAUUAGCCACGCGGGAGUCAAGGUCGGCGAGGUCAAGAACCUGUCCUUCAAGAAGAAAGGCAAGUCCACAGGCUGGGUCAUGGAGGAAUACCGAUGCCUGCUGCCGGAGGCCACCGUCUCCGACGGGGUGAAGGUGUUCUGCAAGAUGCACUUGGCUCAGCAUGCUCCUGACGCGGCCCGCCAGGAAUCGGAAGCGUACAAGCUUCAGCAACAGCAACCAGAGGCCGUGACCCCGAGCGCGCACGCGCAGAAGAGGCCAGCGACCGCUGCCGCCGCCGAUCCUCAUCCGGCGCACCCCAAGAAGAGGAUGUGCGUUGCCGUCCGGGUCCCGGCACCUGCCACAUCGUCGUUCACCGCUGCAGCACCG
rnacentral:rRNA from 1 species